CCUAAUGGUCGGAUGUAAUUGUCGUGCAUGAUCAUCCUAAAUGCUGGUGGGUUAAUUACUCGAAGAACAGAAGAGAUUACUUACCACAAACAUUAUUGCCCUGUGCUGUCGGUGAUUGCGUAUAGAGGGUAAGUCACGUCGGACCGGCUGCAGCUGAGGAUGGUGAGCCGACAUUGCUGAGGUGGACUUCAUGAGGCAGCAGACGGUAUGCAAUCCCGACCUCCUCGAAUAUCUUCUUGAGCUCCAGAACCAGCUCGCAUCUCCGGCUACUCCGAUCCCCGGAUUUCUGAAAAUUUAUGGUGUGAGUGACAUAGAGACCCAUCUUCAUCUUGUUCACAUCUUCAAUCUCCUUGACCAAGACGCUGUGGCUGGGACGCCAGUACUGAGGCUUGCUCUCCAGAUAUCUGAAAUUUUGCACAAUCUGAGGCGGGUCACCUCCGUUGCAAAUGAAUCCUUACAGACCGACCAUUCAUAGUACAUGUAAACUACUUGCCAAUGCAGAGUACAUGAGGGAUAAUAGAUGGCGUACUCUUUUAUUUUAGCUUUCAUA